AUGAUAAAUGAUUUAGGUUUUUUUUUUUUUUUUUUUUUUUUUUUAAAUAACGGGUUUGUUUCAUUUGCAUCAAAACAUGAAAAUUUUGGACUUUGAAAGUUCUUGUGAAAACGUCGACCCUUAGAAAAGAAAUUUAGUAAAAGAACUUAGUGAUUGUUUAAAAAUAAUUUUAACAAAGGAUUUAUUGAUGUUGGAAAGAGUAUUUGGUAAACGGUCAUAUAACAUCUAUGAGGUCUUAUAAGUAAUUGAGAAAGGUUAGUUUGAUUUCGAUUAAGAGUGGAAGUCUCUAGUAUGAUGAUAUAAUGUGAACGUGUUUCAGUUAAUAAAUCAGAUGUGAAGUUCAUGGGCAAGAGAUUCAUUAGACCGAUUAAAUUGAUAGGUAGCAUUUCGUAAGGUUUGGAAAUUCGUGUAGUAAAACGGUAAAGACAUGAUUAAGAAUCUCGUGUAUAUGAUUUGAGUGAAAAUGGAUGGUAGAAUAAGAAGUACGUUUGAUAAACAAUGUAUUUUGAAAUCGGUAUAAGUAGGUAUUUUGAAUAAUGAUAAAUGAUUUAGGUAUAAAACAUGAUCGGGUUUGCAUAAUAAAAUAUUUUGAAAG
rnacentral:lncRNA from 1 species